rnacentral:rRNA from 1 species
UACGUAGGGGGCAAGCGUUGUCCGGAAUCAUUGGGCGUAAAGAGCGUGUAGGCGGCUCGAUAAGUCUGCUGUGAAAGUCCAGGGCUCAACCCUGGAAGGCCGGUGGAAACUGUCGGGCUAGAGUCCGGAAGAGGCGAGUGGAAUUCCCGGUGUAGCGGUGAAAUGCGCAGAUAUCGGGAGGAACACCGGUGGCGAAGGCGGCUUUCUGGGCCGUUACCUGACGCUGAGGAGCGAAAGCG